UUAGGGUUUCGCUAUCAUAUAAAGAAGUAAUAAGACUAAAGGCAACAAAAUCCUUCUGAUUUGUCGGCCGCUCAAUCUUUUCGUGAAAUCUGCAUAGAAUCAGAAGAGUGAAGAAGAGUGUGAAGUCGCCAUGAGGGCUAAGUGGAAGAAGAAGCGUAUGAGGAGAUUAAAGCGGAAGAGACGAAAGAUGAGACAGCGAUCUAAGUAGAGAGUUUCUUCGAACAAGCCCUGCCCUGUCCUUUUUUCUGUUUUUUGUUUGAAUGCUUCGUUGAACCAAAUUGUUGAAUGUUAUGUUUUAUUACAUUGAAAAAAAUCACUUAACUUCUGAUCUAUGUUCUGCUCAAUGAUGAUUUUGAUAUGCUUUUUUC